GGAAGUUCAAUAGUUCUGAGGUAGAAUGUGAAGCAGAGAAAGAGGAAGUCACUUAGAGUCAUAGGAAGUUCAAUAGUUCUGAGGUAGAAUGUGAGACAAACUGGUUCACUAGUUCUGAUAUUGAAUGUGAGACAAACUGGUUCACUAGUUCUGAUAUUGAAUGUGAGGCAUAGACAGUUCACUAGUUCUGAUAUUGAAUGUGAGGCAUAGACAGUUUACUAGUUCUGAAAUAGAAUGUGAGGCAAAGUUCACUUAUUCUGAUCUUGAAAGUGAGAUGGUGAAAGUUCACUAGUUCUGAUAUUGAAUUUGAGGCAGUGAAAUGAUAUUAAAUGCGAAGCAGGACUGUUUGGCAGUGGUGGAAAAAGUACCCAACUGUCAUACUUGAGUAAAAGUAAAGAUACCUUAAUAGAAAACGACUCAAGUAAAAGUCAAAGUCACCCAGUAAAAUUCUACUUAAGUAAAAGUCUAAAAGUAUUUGGUUUAAAAUAUACUUAAGUAUCAAAAGUAAAUGUAAUUCCUAAAAUGUACUUAAGUACCAAAAGUAAAAGUAUGAAUCAUAUAAAAUUCCUUUUCUUGAGCAAACCAGACACCACCAUUUUCUUUUCUUUUUACGGAUAGCCAGGGGCACACUCCAACAUUCAGACAUUAUUUACAAAUGACGCAUGUGUGUUUAGUGAGUCUGCCAGAUCAGAGACAGUAGGCAGUAGGAUGACCAGGGAUGUUCUCUGUUUAGUGAGUCCGUCAGAUCAGAGGCAGUAGGAUGACCAGGGAUGUUCUCUGUUUAGUGAGUCCGUCAGAUCAGAGGCAGUAGGAUGACCAGGGAUGUUCUCUGUUUAGUUAGUCCACUAGAUCAGAGACAGUAGGCAGUAGGAUGACCAGGGAUGUUCUCUGUUUAGUGAGUCCGUCAGAUCAGCGGCAGUAGGGAUGACCAGGGAUGUUCUCUGUUUAGUGAGUCCGUCAGAUCAGCGGCAGUAGGGAUGCCCAGGGAUGUUCUCUGUUUAGUGAGUCCGUCAGAUCAGCGGCAGUAGGGAUGACCAGGGAUGUUCUCUGUUUAGUGAGUCCGUCAGAUCAGCGGCAGUAGGGAUGACCAGGGAUGUUCUCUGUUUAGUGAGUCCGUCAGAUCAGCGGCAGUAGGGAUGACCAGGGAUGUUCGGUUGAUAAGUGCGUGAAUUUGACUAUUUUCCUGUCCUGCUAAGCAUUCAAAAUGUAACAAGUACUUUUGAGUGUCGAGGGAAAUGAAUGGAGUAAAAAAUACAAUAUCAUCUUAAGGAAUGAUUUGAAGUAAAAGUAAAAGUUGUCAAAAAUAUAAAUAGUAAAGUAAAGUAUAGCUACCCCAAAAAACUACUUAAGUAUUUUUACUUAAGUACUUUACACCACUGCUCUUUGGUUCUGAUAUUGAGAGCAAGCCAGAGGGAUAUUUAGCUGGUUGAGGCAGAAAUAACAAAUUAGCUAUCAUAAAGUAAGGCAAAGAGAGCUCUUUUCUUGAUUAGAGCAGAAUUUAAGGCAGAGCAGGUCCCACAAGGGGAGGGGGAGGGGGUAGUGAUGUUGAGAAUACAAGGACAGUUGUGGUUCCCACACACACUCGCUCGCACAUGUCCGCUUCGAAGUCACACUCCACUUAAUGCGCAAUCUCGCCAAAAGGUGUCCUAUAUGUCUACUGCCCAUUAACCUUCCCUCCACACACUGUGUGCUUGUACAUGUGUGUGCGUUCGUUUGCACGUGUGUGUCUGUGUGGGUGAGUGAAAGAGUGACUGAGCGAGUGUAAUGACCUACCUGUAUGUGUACAUGAGUGUGUGAGGGAGAAAAAGGAGAGAAAUGGGAGAGGGGGAAAAAAAACAAGAGAGUGAAGUGACGAUCGAUAGACUCAAUAAAAGCCAAAGAGGAAAGCAAUAGUAUAGCGUUGAGAGCAAUAAUGUCCCUUAGGUGCAGUGGGAGGAGCAACCCAUGUUUGUGGACAAUGAACUCAAGAGCAGUUUUGUCCCAUUCCAACGUGCAAACUGGACAACGUGGCCUGUUGCACAACAAAUGUGGGGGCAGAUAUUUCUCCCAUCUUACGGUACACUUCAGAGAUCAACAGCCCCAUACAACUGGCCAGUGUGAUCUGGCCAUGUACUGAGCUACUUGGGUUUCUGUCUUUUAACCGUCCUUUUCUGAGACUCUGGGGACAAUGCCGUGGAACUCCAUUAGAGUGCACUCUGUUUGAAGGACUUUGGUAUUAGGUUCUGACCCAACUGGGGUCAAAAACAAAAGGGAACACCAAUCUCAUAAUAACAAGAGAAAAUAGUGGUUAAAAUGAUAUUCUAAUAAUAAUAAUAAAUAUUUAUAGAGUUCUUUAUGAAGGGAUUUGACAGUACUUCCAAAGUCUGGCUUUUUUACUGUUUACGUAUGAUUUAACAGUGAUGUUUAAUAGGGCUGUCAGUCUACAGUACACAGCUAAAGGCCAGGGAAACCUAGCAUCUGUUGGUGCUUUCCUGGCUCAUUGUUUCAUAGAAAUAUUACUAUAUAGCUAUGUCCAUAUAUAAAUAAUAUAUGUGAUAUAUGUGUGUGAGGUGUUGUAUUGAUAUUUUUCAGAAAAUAUCUCCAAGAAUAGGUGGUGAACAUUUUUCUUGUUGUGUUUUACUUUGCGUUGUCAUGACAUUCUGAUGCAGACUCUUGGGAGGGAUGUUUUUCUUUCCUCAUACCAAUCCUCCCCUCAAUGUGGUUUUGUAGGUGAACAAAAGUGUUGUGUUGGGGUGAAGUGGUAAGGUCACUGGUUCAUCGUUCCCACAGAAUGCUAAAUGAGGCAGUGUGAGCUUCCACCCAAACUAAAUCCUCUGGGUGGAAGCUCACAGUGUGAAUGAUUUACAGUAUGCCAGAGAUUUAACCCUAAACUGUAAAUGUUGUCAAAGUUCAAAAGAGUAUGUGGAAACAUGCAAAGGCCAGAUUUGUCCUCCUAAAGCCAACACCUGUCUGUCAGUCAGUUAUGACCUUUCCCAGCAAUGACCAGACUUCCCCAGCACCCACUGGGCUCAGCGUUAUGGUCACACAAGUCUUCCAAAAACAAACUACGCCCCCUCCUUUUUCCUCUCGGCUCUUGGUUUAUCUCAGUCCUUUCCUCUCGUCUUCCAAAAGUUACAGACGUCUUCCAACAAGAGCCAUAAGUAAUAACACAGGGCUUAGCACUGAUGAGGCCUAUGAAAGAAGGGCUGUGGUAUUACUUACCAGGUGGGACUCUACAUGGCAACUGAGACAAAGUGAGCAGAGCUCGAUCUACUAACACUCCAGCCACAACAAAAAACUGAGACUAGAGAGUAUGAACAAUACAGAUAGGACUAACAACUUGCAAUUGGGACAACCAGCUCGCAAGGACGGCAAACCGUCAUCAGCAAGGAUUAACAGUUAGCAAGGAGGACUAACAGGCUACAAAACAGUCCAGCAGUCUGCAAUAAGGACAACAAAUCCAGGUUGACUUGAGAAUUUUUGCAACGCAUAUGCAUGCACCACCAUUUACCAACUUUCAUGAUAAGGGAUGACUCCUCCUCCACAGUAACUAGAGACACACCGGCCCCUCCCCUCACCCUCUCUCUGAGUUUGACACUGACCUGUGUACAUUUCUAUAGUAAAUCACACCUGAAUCAAGGGGAGAUGUCUUAUUAUGGAAUAUUAUUCAAUAAAACAAACAGAUAUAUUUGUAUGAUUGUA
ensembl:lncRNA